rnacentral:rRNA from 1 species
GAUGAACGCUGGCGGCGUGCCUAAUACAUGCAAGUCGAGCGAACGGACGAGAAGCUUGCUUCUCUGAUGUUAGCGGCGGACGGGUGAGUAACACGUGGAUAACCUACCUAUAAGACUGGGAUAACUUCGGGAAGCCGGAGCUAAUACCGGAUAAUAUUUUGAACCGCAUGGUUCAAAAGUGAAAGACGGUCUUGCUGUCACUUAUAGAUGGAUCCGCGCUGCAUUAGCUAGUUGGUAAGGUAACGGCUUACCAAGGCAACGAUGCAUAGCCGACCUGAGAGGGUGGUCGGCCACACUGGAACUGAGAAACGGUCCAGACUCCUGAGGGAGGCAGCAGUAGGGAAUCUUCCGCAAUGGGCGAAAGCCUGACGGAGCAACGCCGCGUGAGUGAUGAAGGUCUUCGGAUCGUAAAACUCUGUUAUUAGGGAAGAACAUAUGUGUAAGUAACUGUGCACAUCUUGACGGUACCUGAUCAGAAAGCCACGGCUAACUACGUG